GUUAAUGUAGCUUAAACUUAAAGCAAGGCACUGAAAAUGUCUAGAUGAGUAUAUUGACUCCAUAAACA
rnacentral:tRNA from 1 species